UACGUAGGGUGCGAGCGUUGUCCGGAAUUAUUGGGCGUAAAGCGUGCGCAGGCGGUGAUGUAAGACAGGUGUGAAAUCCCCGGGCUUAACCUGGGAACUGCAUUUGUGACUGCAUCGCUGGAGUGCGGCAGAGGGGGAUGGAAUUCCGCGUGUAGCAGUGAAAUGCGUAGAUAUGCGGAGGAACACCGAUGGCGAAGGCAAUCCCCUGGGCCUGCACUGACGCUCAUGCACGAAAGCGUGGGGAGCAAACAGG
rnacentral:rRNA from 1 species